GGGUGAGUAAUGCCUAGGAAUCUGCCUGGUAGUGGGGGAUAACGUUCGGAAACGGACGCUAAUACCGCAUACGUCCUACGGGAGAAAGCAGGGGACCUUCGGGCCUUGCGCUAUCAGAUGAGCCUAGGUCGGAUUAGCUAGUUGGUGGGGUAAUGGCUCACCAAGGCGACGAUCCGUAACUGGUCUGAGAGGAUGAUCAGUCACACUGGAACUGAGACACGGUCCAGACUCCUACGGGAGGCAGCAGUGGGGAAUAUUGGACAAUGGGCGAAAGCCUGAUCCAGCCAUGCCGCGUGUGUGAAGAAGGUCUUCGGAUUGUAAAGCACUUUAAGUUGGGAGGAAGGGUUGUAGAUUAAUACUCUGCAAUUUUGACGUUACCGACAGAAAUAAGCACCGGCUAACUCUGUGCCCAG
rnacentral:rRNA from 1 species